rnacentral:lncRNA from 1 species
NNNNNNNNNNNNNNNNNNNNNNNNNNGCGCAAGGCCAAGAAGCCGGAGCCGCCGGACGGCGCCGCCGUGGCCGAGGCGCCCCGGGCCGCGGUAGGGCUUUGCCAGCCGCUCGGCAUCGUGGAUCCCGAGCGGGACUCGGCUCCGGGCCCGAGUCGCGGUGACGGGCGGGGGCCACCCCUAACUGCCUCCCCCGGGCAGGUGGAGGACAUGUACUCGACGGUGUGCAAAGGCGCCGGGAGGAAAGCGCGGCAGGCGGCUUCGCCCCCGUGGGACGCGGCCGAGCCAGGCCGCCGCUGGCCCCGCUGCCCGCGGCCCGACGCCUCCGCCGAGCCCUGCUACGAGUCCAUCGGCGACGGAGCCUGGCCCGGCCCCGACCCCGACUACGAGGCCGUGGACGCGAACUGGAGGAAACCCGGCCCGCGGGGGCGGCCGCGGCCCCCCGAGCACCUCUACGAGAGCGUCGGCGAGGGCCGCCGCGGCUCGGCCCGCGCGGCUCCCAACGGCCUGGAGGUGUACGUCACCAACCUCUAGCGCCCGCGCCGGCCCCCCCCCCCCCCCCCCCCCCCCCCCCCUUUCCUGUAUAUACAUUUUUUACUUUUUUUGGUUGUCUUUUUCAAGCUGCUUCGGCCCGUCCCCUGCCGUUUUCAAUCUAACGCCCCCCACGCGCAGUGAUCGCCGCCGAUGCCGGUGGUGCGAGCGCGCGGCCGGCUCCGGGUGCAGAUGUGCUGCCGGGGUUUUGCACCGAUGCAGCUGGAUGCGGCGCUGGGAAGGGGGCGAGCGCUCCCGCGCCGUGCCGCGCCGCCGCCGCUCCUCUCCCCCUCCGUUCCCUCCGUCCUCGGGUGCGGAUGCCCCAAACGCUGCUUGCCGCAAGGAGCAAAAGCAGCUCGAAAGCUUUGCUCUGCGCUGGCCGAGCCCCGAGCCCCCGCGUCUUGGAUUUCCCCUCUCCCCUCCGGAGCGGGAAUCUGGCAUGAAAAAAUGGGGUGUAUUAAGGGGUGCGGAGCAUCUGCCCCAGCACGCGCUUGCAAAGGCGGG